rnacentral:rRNA from 1 species
AUUGAACGCUGGCGGCAGGCCUAACACAUGCAAGUCGAGCGGAGCGGCGGACGGGUGAGUAAUGCCUAGGAAUCUGCCUGGUAGUGGGGGAUAACGUCCGGAAACGGGCGCUAAUACCGCAUACUAUCAGAUGAGCCUAGGGCGGCUUAGCUAGUUGGUGGGUUAAAGGCCUACCACGGCGACGAUCCGUAACUGGUCUGAGAGGAUGAUCAGUCACACUGGAAUGGAGACACGGUCCAGACUCAUACGGGAGGCAGCAGUGGGGAAUAUUGGAAAAUGGGCGAAAGCCUGAUCCAGCCAGGCGGCGUGUGGGAAGAAGGUCUUCGGAUUGUAAAGCACGUUAAGUUGGGAGGCGUUACCAACAGAAUAAGCACCGGCUAACUACGUGCCAGCAGCCGCGGUAAUAC